AGCGAACGCUGGCGGCAGGCUUAACACAUGCAAGUCGAGCGGGCAUCUUCGGAUGUCAGCGGCAGACGGGUGAGUAACACGUGGGAACGUACCCUUCGGUUCGGAACAACUCUGGGAAACUGGAGCUAAUACCGGAUACGCCCUUAUGGGGGAAGGUUUACUGCCGAAGGAUCGGCCCGCGUCUGAUUAGCUAGUUGGUGGGGUAACGGCCUACCAAGGCGACGAUCAGUAGCUGGUCUGAGAGGAUGAUCAGCCACGCUGGGACUGAGACACGGCCCCGACUCCUACGGGAGGCAGCAGUAGGGAAUAUUGGACAAUGGGCGCAAGCCUGAUCCAGCCAUGCCGCGUGAGUGAGGAAGGCCUUAGGGUUGUAAAGCUCUUUUGUCCGGGACGAUAAUGACGGUACCGGAAGAAUAAGCCCCGGCUAACUUCGUG
rnacentral:rRNA from 1 species